GAUGAACGCUGGCGGCGUGCCUAAUACAUGCAAGUCGAACGCAUUGAGAGAAGUGCUUGCACUUUUCAAUUUGAGUGGCGAACGGGUGAGUAACACGUGGGCAACCUACCUGAUAGCGGGGGAUAACGAGUGGAAACAUUCGCUAAUACCGCAUAACAAUAGAGAAGGGAUCUUCUUUAUUUAAAAGGCGCUUUCAAGCGUCACUAUCAGAUGGGCCCGCGGUGCAGUAGUUAGUUGGUGGGGUGAAGGCCUACCAAGACGAUGAUGCAUAGCCGAGUUGAGAGACCGAUCGGCCACAUUGGGACUGAGACACGGCCCAAACUCCUACGGGAGGCUGCAGUAGGGAAUCUUCCACAAUGGACGAAAGUCUGAUGGAGCAACGCCGCGUGUGUGAUGAAGGCUUUCGGGUCGUAAAGCACUGUUGUAUGGGAAGAAAUGCUAGGCUAGGAAAUGAGCUUAGUUUGACGGUACCAUACCAGAAAGGGACGGCUAAAUACGUGCCAGCCGCCGCAGUAA
rnacentral:rRNA from 1 species